UACGAGGGGUGCAAGCGUUAAUCGGAAUUACUGGGCGUAAAGCGCGCGUAGGCGGCUGUAUAAGUCGAUUGUGAAAUCCCCGGGCUCAACCUGGGAAUUGCAGUCGAGACUGUUCGGCUAGAGUGUGGGAGAGGGUGGUGGAAUUCCCGGUGUAGCGGUGAAAUGCGUAGAUAUCGGGAGGAUUAUUUAAUGAUAAGGCGACCACCGAGACCUACACUGACGCUGAGGUGCGAAAGCGUGGGUAGCAAACAGG
rnacentral:rRNA from 1 species